rnacentral:rRNA from 1 species
CCUACGGGAGGCAGCAGUGAGGAAUCUUGGUCAAUGGACGAAAGUCUGAACCAGCCACGUAGCGUGAAGGAUGACUGCCCUAUGGGUUGUAAACUUCUUUUAUAUGGGAAUAAAAUGUUGAACGUAUCGGUUUAUGUAUGUACCGUAUGAAUAAGGAUCGGCUAACUCCGUGCCAGCAGCCGCGGUAAUACGGAGGAUCCGAGCGUUAUCCGGAUUUAUUGGGUUUAAAGGGAGCGUAGGUGGAUUGUUAAGUUAGUUGUGAAAGUUUGGGGCUCAACCGGAACAGUGCAGUUGAUACUGGGAGACUUGAGUACAGAAGAGGUGAGUGGAACUCGUGGUGUAGCGGUGAAAUGCGUAGAUA